rnacentral:rRNA from 1 species
AUGUAUAUUCCUACUGCAUAGCAUUAAUGCACAAGAUCUCAUUAGAACUCCACAGUUAGGCAUGCUCAUGAUAAAGUAGUGCUCGGAUGGGUGACCACUCUAGAAGUCCUAGUAUUUUACUUU